UGAGAUCCCUUUGAAGGGGCGUACUUUGUUAGCGUCGACAAUUUUUUGUAUAUUAGAUACAUCAUUAUCAAUACGAAUAAUGUUAAUGCCUUUACAGGUGACUUUUAAACAAUCAAC